GAUAAUUGAAGCAUGAGCUCUGUAACAGGUUGAUCCUCUCUUAAAAUCUUCAUAAACGGCGGGAUCGACACGUGUGCUUUCACUGUAUGUUUGAGUAUUUACAUAGGCUAUGUUAAAACUCUAGAUGACUAUUUUCGAAUUUGAGUUUAUCCUCUUGAGGAAGAAGCUGAUGAUUUUCUUAGAAGGGUCGAAUUGAGGGGGAAAUUAUGAAAAAGAUGUAUUUUGCCAAGAGGCAAAGUUCAGCAUAUGGUCGCUUAUGCUUGGCCAAGAUUUAUUUAUUUGAGAAAGGAGAUAAAUAGAAGGUGCUCUCAAGGUAGAACAACUCCAGUUAACAUCUGAAAGUAAGGUACUUGGCUAUUGAACAGUAGUGGUAUGUUUUAGGAAUUUUGCCAUCUUCUACUUCAUCAUGGACUACCAUUGAAUCCAUGUAAUGUAUCGAAAUUGCCGAAGGCUGUUAUACUUGUGGCUUUGGCUCUUUUAUUAAUUAAUUUUGCACAUGUAUGUGGUGAUUUCAUUACAUUGUAUCAAGUUCGCAGCAAGCAGUGGUAUGUAUUAAGCAGGUGAAUUCGAUUAGACUACAGAAAGAAUAUAUGAACAAAAUUUCAAAAGGUAAGUAACACACUCAUGGUCUAUUAAAAAAAUUGUUUGCUUUUCAGCUUGAUGAUGUUUCCUAUUAAACCUCACAAAAUUGAGUUGCUUUUUAUUUUCUUAAAAAUCUGGACAAAGGCAGUUUAUUAUGCUUUUGAAGACUUUAAAUAUGCAACAUAAAGUUUGCAUUUAAUAUUUUGGACAACAUCUCAAUGUUACUUGUGUGCUAUGAUCUAAAUUGAAGAAACUCCAUGAAUAUGGAUUAUAAAGCUUUGUGAGCUCACUGCUAUUUGCACAAGUCAAGAAACACUUCCAAGAUAGCUUUAUAAUAAUAUCAAAAUUUUAAAACCCAAAAAGAUUAUGUCAUAAGUUUCACAACAUUUAGACACACAGAGCCUUAAGAUUUGACUUUUUGUUGACAGCUAGCUCCACUGCAAAUAUGACAUAUGGAAGAAUUGUGGAUGCUAAGGAAAAGGAAGAAGGCAGUGUGGUUGGUUAACACAAUCCUCAAAGGAUGAGACCUAUUCUUCCCCUUUCUCCUCUCUUCAAUUCUCCUCCUCUAUUUCUGACGGUGAGUGUACUGAUAUACAUGUUUUUUGCAUUUACGUCACUUUCUUCCUCCAAAAAACUGAUCUUCUUUUCCUCAAAUAGUGAUUAGGGUUAUAUAAAAUGGAUAGACGAGUGAUAAAGUUCUCCCUUUAUCUAUGGGGAGUUAAUUUUCUUGGAUGCUGUUCUUUCAAGAAUUGAGGAAGAUAAACCCUUGGAGGGAAAUGACAAGAAAUUGGUUAGUAUAAUUGGGGGUUAUUUGAAGGCUGAUGACUAUUUGUAUGCCCCCUUGCUUAUUUCGCCACCUCGGGGUUCAGCUGAAACGGUUCAUGUAUCUGAAGGUACGAUAUUUUCACUUUUAAGAGGACAUUUCCAUCCUUUGUUUGUAUAGCAUCGCUUAGUACUUUUGUUAAGGCUUGAGUACUUCUUGUGAGUUGAUUCCAGAGUUUCUGGUUGUUAGUAAGGAUUAGCAUAGAUUCACGACAUUUGAAGAUGAGAUUGGUUAGUAUUGAACUAACUCUCGGGUGAGCGCUAUGUUUCUAAUUUGUUCAGCUCUACAACCAGCUUUAAAGGUGGGAUUCUCCUCUAAGGAAAGUACUUUAACCUGGAGGUUGUUGUUCCAGUACUUUAUCCUGGAGGAUGAUGUCGAGGAGUGGUCAAUGGAUUUUAGAAUGAGGAUCCACAAGCGCUGACACCGGAAGCGAAGCUAUCUAUUGGACCUCUUUUGUCUAGAAAAUGGCAUUCCUGCUGUAAACCUAGACUUCUUUUUAACUUAGUAAAAUGAACUUAGAUAGUUCAAUAUGGAAGUUGUGAAAAGAUACUAAUUUUUUUUUUUUGUUGUUUGUCUUGCUAGAGGUGAUGGUGUUCAUGUAACUUAAAUUAUCUACUAUUGUUUCUAUAACUUAAACUUUCAUCA